CCUCUGCCUCCGCCUCCGCCUAUCGUCCAGAAACCCUAGCUCCGUCAAGGGUCUUUGUCCUUGGACUGCCGUGCUCCCUCUACUUGGGAAUCAAAUUGUUGAUCAUUCGCCUUGGGAUGAUGCUCUCUUCUUUUAGGGUUUCGCUGUUUGUUUAUGUUGGUCUACUCUUUGAACGUUUCUUUCUUAUUGGAAAUACUGCUGCUCGAAGCUUUGUCGUUGGAGAUAUUGCGAGGCGAUUUUUUGUUGCUUAUUACAGUCUUAACAAUCUGGCAAGUUAUCCAUCGUCUUAUUUGAUCAACGGGAAGAGUGUGGAAGGCGAGUUCAUAUCAUUGCAGUUUUGACACGCCCGAUCCUAUUUUGGCAAGUGUAGAAUCUAAUCUUGAAAGUCGCGAAGAAAAAUAAAAGGCAAAAAAAGGAGAAAGCUAGGACUAGAGGUAGGUAACAAAGUGACAAUUAACACCAUCGUUCCUCUUAUAUAUUAUAGCCUAGUGGAGUCACACUAAGACUGUGCAGCCGAAGGGAGUUAGUGAUGUUCACCAUUCGAGCAUUGGAGUAUGGUAAUUUUUUACCAUUCAACUGCAUCAGCCUUUUUAAAUGCUUUAAAAUUAGAACGAAAGUAGGAAUAGGCAAAAAAGAAAGUACUGGAGCAAGAUCCCUGUACUGCUUUGGAUGUAUCCCAUUGCUAAUGUACAAUUGUUUAAAGAACUUGCUUUUGGGCUAUCAUGUGUUUUCCUAUAGUUGAAACUGCAAGGCUUUCUUUUAUUUAAUCAUUCAUCUGAACUUCAGUCUUAUAGCAUAUGUCAAAUAGCUGUUUGAGAAAGUUGCAGCGAGUGUUUGACAUGUUUAAAUAGCCUAUCUAGGUAUCUUCUUUUUUACCCUGAGUUCAUGACACAGUAGAAGAAAGAUUCCAAAUUACUAAUUUAUGAAGACAAGGACAGACAGAUUUACAUUUUCAGAAUCUGUUGGUUUUUUAUCUGUCAUUUCUUAAAUGCAGUAAAUUGUCAUAUUUAGUGAAUACGUAGUUGUAAACAGCGGAGAUAUAAUGGUCCUUGAAACGGAUACUUCCUUUUGAGAUAAUUUAAUUCAUCUUUCAGACUUGAA